AUUGAACGCUGGCGGAAUGCUUUACACAUGCAAGUCGAACGGCAGCACGGACUUCGGUCUGGUGGCGAGUGGCGAACGGGUGAGUAAUACAUCGGAACGUGCCCAGUCGUGGGGGAUAACGUAGCGAAAGCUACGCUAAUACCGCAUACGAUCUAAGGAUGAAAGCGGGGGAUCGCAAGACCUCGCGCGAUUGGAGCGGCCGAUGGCAGAUUAGGUAGUUGGUAGGGUAAAGGCCUACCAAGCCGACGAUCUGUAGCUGGUCUGAGAGGAUGAUCAGCAACACUGGGACUGAGACACGGCCCAGACUCCUACGGGAGGCAGCAGUGGGGAAUUUUGGACAAUGGACGAAAGCCUGAUCCAGCAAUGCCGCGUGUGUGAAGAAGGCCUUCGGGUUGUAAAGCACUUUUGUCCGGAAAGAAAUGGCUCUGGUUAAUACCUGGGGUCGAUGACGGUACCGGAAGAAUAAGGACCGGCUAACUACGUGCCAGCCGCCGCCGUAA
rnacentral:rRNA from 1 species